UACGUAGGGGGCAAGCGUUGUCCGGAUUUAUUGGGCGUAAAGAGCGUGUAGGCGGCCAUGUAGGUCCGUUGUGAAAACUCGAGGCUCAACCUCGAGACGCCGAUGGAAACCAUGUGGCUAGAGUCCGGAAGAGGAGAGUGGAAUUCCCGGUGUAGCGGUGAAAUGCGCAGAUAUCGGGAAGAACACCCGUGGCGAAGGCGGCUCUCUGGGACGGUACGUGACGCUGAGACGCGAAAGCGUGGGGAGCAAACAG
rnacentral:rRNA from 1 species